AGCAGCCGCGGUAAUUCCAGCUCCAAUAGCGUAUAUUAAAGUUGCUGCAGUUAAAAAGCUCGUAGUUGAAUUUCGGGACCAUCAUGUCGGUCGUGCCUCGGUACGUACUGGCAUUGUUGGUUUCUACCUUCUGACGAACCAUGAUGUCAUUUAUUUGGUGUCGUGGGAAAUCAGGACUGUUACUUUGAAAAAAUUAGAGUGUUUAAAGCAGGCUCACGCUUGAAUACAUUAGCAUGGAAUAAUGAAAUAGGACGUUUGAUUCUAUUUUGUUGGUUUCUAGGAUCGACGUAAUGAUUAAUAGGGAUAGUUGGGGGCAUUAGUAUUCAAUUGUCAGAGGUGAAAUUCUUGGAUUUAUUGAAGACUAACUACUGCGAAAGCAUUUGCCAAGGAUGUUUUCAUUAAUCAAGAACGAAAGUUAGGGGAUCGAAGACGAUCAGAUACCGUCGUAGUCUUAACCAUAAACUAUGCCGACUAGGGAUCGGAUGAUGUAAUUUUUAAUGACUCAUUC
rnacentral:rRNA from 1 species